rnacentral:miRNA from 1 species
AGAGAUUGGUAGAAAUCAGGU